rnacentral:rRNA from 1 species
GCCUACCAAGACUGUGAUCAAUAGCUGAUUUGAGAGGAUGAUCAGCCACAUUGGGACUGAGACACGGCCCAAACUCCUACGGGAGGCAGCAGUGGGGAAUCUUGCACAAUGGAGGAAACUCUGAUGCAGCGAUGCCGCGUGAGUGAAGAAGGCCUUUGGGUUGUAAAGCUCUUUCGUCGGGGAAGAAAAUGACUGUACCCGAAUAAGAAGGCCCGGCUAACUUCGUGCCAGCAGCCGCGGUAAUACGAAGGGACCUAGCGUAGUUCGGAAUUACUGGGCUUAAAGAGUUCGUAGGUGGUUGAAAAAGUUAGUGGUGAAAUCCCAGAGCUUAACUCUGGAACUGCCAUUAAAACUUUUCAGCUAGAGUAUGAUAGAGGAAAGCAGAAUUUCUAGUGUAGAGGUGAAAUUCGUAGAUAUUAGAAAGAAUACCAAUUGCGAAGGCAGCUUUCUGGAUCAUUACUGACACUGAGGAACGAAAGCAUGGGUAGCGAAGAGGAUUAGAUACCCUCGUAGUCCAUGCCGUAAACGAUGUGUGUUAGACGUUGGAAAUUUAUUUUCAGUGUCGCAGCGAAAGCGAUAAACACACCGCCUGGGGAGUACGACCGCAAGGUUAAAACUCAAAUGAAUUGACGGGGACCCGCACAAGUAG